AUACCAGUUGAUCCUGCUGGAGGCUAUUGCUAUCGGGGUUCGGCUAAGCUAUGCAAGCUUAAAGGACUCGUGGGAGUUCUUGGCGAACGGCUGAGUAACACGUAGAUAACCUACCCUCAAGACUUGUAUAACCUCGGGAAACUGAGGAUAAUACAGGAUAGAAGAAGAAUACUGGAAUGUUUUUUCUUUGAAAUGAUUCGCACCCUUUCGUGCGUAUUCGCUUGAGGAUGGGUCUGCGGCGUAUUAGGCUGUUGGUGAGGUAACGGCUCACCAAACCUAAGAUGCGUAGGGGCUGUGUGAGCAGUUGCCCUCAGAAGGGUACUGAGACAAGGACCCUAGCCCUAUGGGGCGUAGCAAGCGCGAAACCUUCACAAUGCGUGAAAGCGUGAUGAGGGAACCCCGAGUGCAACUCCUAUGGAGUUGCUGUGGUCAAGUGUAAAGUGCUUGACUAGAAAGUGGUGGGCAAGACAGGUGCCAGCAGCCGCGGUAACACCUGCAACACAAGUGAUAGCCAGUUUUAUUGGGCUUAAAGCGUUCGUAGCCUGCUGAGUAGGUUCUCGGUGAAAUCGUUGCUCUUAAAGUAACGGCGUGCUGGGAAUACCGCUUAGCUAGGGACCGGGAGAGGUAUGAGGUAUGCCUUGGGUAGGGGUGAAAUCCUGUAAUCCUUGGUAGACCACCUGUGGCGAAGGCGUCAUACUGGAACGGGUCCGACGGUGAGGAACGAAAGCUAGGGUAGCAAAGCGGAUUAGAUACCCGUGUAGUCCUAGCUGUAAACGCUGCAGAUUAGGUAUUGCCCUCUCUAGUGGGGGGGCAGUGUCGAAGCGACAGCAUUAAAUCUGCCGCCUGGGGAGUACGGUCGCAAGGCUGAAACUUAAAGGAAUUGGCGGGGGAGCACAACAAGGGGUGGAGUUUGCGGUUCAAUUGGAGUCAACCCCGUGCAACUCACCAGGGGCGACAGCAGUAUGAAGGCCAGUCUGAAGGGCUUGCCGAACGCGCUGAGCGGAGGUGCAUGGCCAUCAUCAGUUCGUGUCGUGAGAUGUCCCGUUAAGUCGGGUAACGAACGAGACCCACACUCUUAAUUGCUAUUAACCAACUUCGGUUUGUUAAGCACCUUAAGAGGACUGCAUUCGUUAAGAAUGAGGAAGGUGUGGGCAAUGAUAGGUCAGUAUGCCCCUAAUCCCUUGGGCUACACGCGAGCUACAAUGGUUGGGACAAAGGGACGCCACCCCGAAAGGGGGAGCCAAUCCCCUAAACCCUACCUUAGUUCGGAUUGAGGGCUGUAACCCGCCCUCAUGAAGCCGGAAUCCCUAGUAAUCGAGGUUCAACAGACCUCGGUGAAUACGUCCCUGCUCCUUGCACACACUGCCCGUCAAACCAGCCGAGUUGGGUUUUGGUGAGGCGCAGUCUUUGAUUGUGACGAACCAGAGCUCGAUGAGGGGGGUUAAGUCGACACAAGGUAGCGGUACGGGAACGUGCCGCUGGAUCACCUCCAUAA
rnacentral:rRNA from 1 species